AGGGUUUGAUCAUGGCUCAGAACGAACGCUGGCGGCGUGGAUAAGACAUGCAAGUCGAACGAGACGAGAGCUUAGCUUGCUUUGCUCAAGUUUAGUGGCGAACGGGUGAGUAACACGUGAGCAACCUGCCCAGAAGCAGGGGAUAGCCCACCGAAAGGUGGAUUAAUACCGUAUGUGAUUGUCGAGGGAUUCCUCGACGUAUCAAAGGUGGGGAUCUUCGGACCUGCCGCUUCUGGAUGGGCUCGCGGCCUAUCAGCUUGUUGGUGAGGUAACGGCUCACCAAGGCUACGACGGGUAGCUGGUCUGAGAGGAUGAUCAGUCACACUGGAACUGAGACACGGUCCAGACACCUACGGGUGGCAGCAGUCGAGAAUCAUUCGCAAUGGGGGAAACCCUGACGGUGCGACGCCGCGUGGAGGAUGACGGCCCUAGGGUUGUAAACUCCUGUCAUCGGGGAGUAAGGUCUGCAGUUUAAUAGGCUGCAGGAUUGAUAGUACCCGAAGAGGAAGAGACGGCUAACUCUGUGCCAGCAGCCGCGGUAAUACAGAGGUCUCAAGCGUUGUUCGGAAUCACUGGGCGUAAAGCGUAUGUAGGCUGUACGGUAAGUCAGAUGUGAAAGCCCAGGGCUCAACCCUGGAACUGCAUCCGAUACUGCCAUACUAGAGUAGUGGAGGGGUAUAUGGAAUUCACGGUGUAGCAGUGAAAUGCGUAGAUAUCGUGAGGAACACUGGCGGCGAAGGCGAUAUACUGGACACUCACUGACGCUGAGAUACGAAGGCUAGGGUAGCGAAAGGGAUUAGAUACCCCUGUAGUCCUAGCAGUAAACGGCGCACGUUUGGUGUGGGGCGGUUCGACCCGUUCCGU
rnacentral:rRNA from 1 species